GAGAUCGACACGGGGUGCCUAGACAAUCGGUCCGGCUGAGAAAAGACCCGUUGAACCUGCCCGGUUAAUACCGGCGAAGGGAUGUCCUUUUGACGUACG
rnacentral:ncRNA from 2 species